rnacentral:tRNA from 1 species
GUUUUAAUAAUUUAAAUAAAAUAUUGGUCUUGUAAAUCAAAAAUAAGUCAAACUUUUAAAACU